CCAAAAAUAUCUUGUCUAACCAACAACUUUCUCGAGCCUUACGAAUAGUACAUGUUCGACCAACAACUUUACUUUGAGCAAUGAAUAUUCGACCAGCAACUUUCUCGUGUCAGUGGAUGUCUCAUCAGUAAUCUUUAUUAAAAAUCCACGUGAUAACUCCCCACUAGUUUUGGUACCUUUGUUUUCCAAAUUCCAAAAAAUGGCUCUUGAUAUUCUCCCGCAUUUUUAAUAAGCUAUGAUUACAUUUCUUGGUCACGGAUAUGGUGGCUACACGUUUCCCAAGUCAUGGGAUAAUAUGAGAGGGAAGAUUAAAAGGCUUGGUAUUGGUAUUUAAUCUUAUAAAUAGGACCUCCCAUGGCUAUCUAUACUUCACUCUCUCUCAAAGUAUCGAAAAAAAUAACCUCUUCAUCGUUGCUGAAGCUCUCCAAAUCUGAAGGUUCCCAUAAUUUUUCAAAAAUUUUCGACGCAUGUAUCACGAAUCUGAGGCUCCCAUCAUCUCUUUGAGUGGUGGUGGUGGUGGUGAUUAUGGGGGUCGGGGUAGUGGUGGUGCUCACUCUGUUUAAUGAUUUUAUUUGAUUAUCUGAUCUUCUUUAAUUUUUUUUAUUUUUGUAAAAUAUACCUUGGAAUCGGCUUGUAAUUUUGUAAGUUUUUCAAAUUUUGUAUUAUGGGUGUUGAGAUGUUGAAACUCUUGAAUAUGAUAUUAUUGAAUUGAUUUUGAAAAUUUUGAUAAAUU